rnacentral:rRNA from 1 species
AUUGAACGCUGGCGGCAUGCCUUACACAUGCAAGUCGAACGGUAACAGGUCUUCGGAUGCUGACGAGUGGCGAACGGGUGGGUAAUACAUCGGAACGUGCCUAGUAGUGGGGGAUAACUACUCGAAAGAGUGGCUAAUACCGCAUGAGAUCUACGGAUGAAAGCAGGGGAUCGCAAGACCUUGUGCUACUAGAGCGGCCGAUGGCAGAUUAGGUAGUUGGUGGGAUAAAAGCUUACCAAGCCGACGAUCUGUAGCUGGUCUGAGAGGACGAUCAGCCACACUGGGACUGAGACACGGCCCAGACUCCUACGGGAGGCAGCAGUGGGGAAUUUUGGACAAUGGGCGCAAGCCUGAUCCAGCAAUGCCGCGUGCAGGAUGAAGGCCUUCGGGUUGUAACUGCUUUUGUACGGAACGAAAAGCCCCGGGUUAAUACCCUGGGGUCAUGACGGUACCGUAAGAAUAAGCACCGGCUAACUACGUGCCAGCAGCCGCCGUAA